UACACUGGCACCUCAGUCACGAUGAGUGACUUUUGGCACAAACGUACCCUGUGUAGUAUUUGGGACAUACACUGAAACAUUAUGCAGAGUCUGUCUGGAAUCGAAGUUUCACUGGAUGUCCUGCAUUUUCUCUGGAGACUCCAGAGGGAGAAGGGGAGAGAGCCGAUCCAUCACAGGAGGAGCCCCUUGGGCCAGUGCGGAAUCUGCCGGAGCAAAGCCCAGCUGGCGUCUGAGCCUCCCAAACCCCCAGCACAACUCUCUUCGCAUCUGCAGGAGGAAGGGAAGCGGGCCUCUGACUGCCCCCGGUUCACCUGAGCAAACUCCGGCCGACACCUGGCACCCUCAGGUCUCUGACUCUGAAGAAGGGGUCUUCGCGCUGGAGGAAGCCACAGGACCACUUCCUGAGGAGGAAGGUUCUGCUAAGGACCAACAGACCUCAGACCCCAGGCUUCAUGUUGAGGUGCACUAAGAAUCUCCCCCUUCAGAGGCCAGCUUGUGCCUCUCCCACCACAGACCUUGGUUCCUUCCCCUGGGGCUUCCCCCACACCUCCGCCCUUGGGCCAAGGGCAGAGAGACCCCUCAACUCCAUCUCAGCCCCACUGGGUACAUGGAGAGGGCUGGUUUCCCUGCCUCAAGCUCUGACUUGCUGCACCUCAGUUUUCUGGUUUUUCAGGGGUCAUCCUAUAUCUUGCCUCGGAUGUAUGGGAGAGAAGAUCCCUGAAACCCAGCUCUCUGGAGGGCUGGCGGAAGAGGCGACCCCCCCCCCCCCCGGGCUGUUUGUCCACACUCCCUGGUUCUGAAACCAGGGUGGUAUUUCUCUCUGGGACAGGCUGGAUUUUGGAAUCAGCAAGUUUUGGAAUAACAUAUUUUCCAGAAAAGCACCUUCCUGAAAGGAAACCACUUGUUCCAAGGAGUAUAAAAGGAUCAUUGUGUUUGCCAGGUCACCGUUCCCGGGGACAUGACACUUGAGGCAGGCACAGUCGAGACACAGAGACCUUCAGCCCCACCACAUGCUCCCACAAAUGCAUUCCUCCAGCACAUCUGCAGAGCAAGAGGGUAGAAACGGCUGACUGGCACAUCCCAUCAUAGCUAUAAAAUCCAGUGCUAGCAGGCUUCAAAAGAAUGAGGCAAAUUAAUGCGAAAGGCUAUUCAUCACACAUUGCAUCAGAGACCUGUGAAUGUGGUCAUGUGAUAAAAUCCCAUUUUUUGUUAACUAUACUUCUAUAUGUAGAAAAAGAUGUGGAAGCUAUGGGUCAACAUGUUGAUAAGCAGAUAUCGCUGGAUGGGUAAGAUUAUUUAUGUAUUCUAAAUGUUUCUUAAUCUGGGCAAGAAGUGCACUCCUAUAAUCCCAGCACUGCAGCAGGGUGGCACGUUGGAGCCAGGCUGUGCAACUUAGAAUUUAUUUUUUGGUAGUAGGGGGAUUGAACCCAGGCCUUGUCUCAUACAAGCCAAACAUACCACUGGGCUAUUGUGCAACUUAGAGCCUUAGUGAGAACUUGUCUCCAAAUUCAAAAGGGCUCUCUGGGGGUUGAGGGUGAUUACUGGUGCAUCUGGGCCAGAAGGGGUGUAUUUGGGUGGGUUGAGGAAGGUAGAGGCUACUCUGGGACUCAUGGGUCUGUGGGAGAGGCCUGGCUGUGUCUGCACUCGCCCUGUCCCUCUAGGGACCAGCAUGGAUCCUAAUCCCAGAUUAUCGAGGCAGGGCCCAGGAAUCUGUCAAAGUAAUUCCCCAACUCCAGUGUUAGAGGGAGGUAACAGGGCCCUCAGCUCAGGGUGUAGGGGGAUUUUAUCUGCAUGACUUCUGACUUCCACGCGGAGACCUUUGUCAGCUGCCAACAGAAUCCACCCAGGAAGCAGGAUUAUGGUGGCCCAGAGUUUUUCGUCUUGCUCUUCUGAGAUACGGGUACCAUGGUAGUCCCCUGUCCCUGUGUAGGACCCUACGCAAGGGGAGGAUGCCCCUUCUUCUGGUGUCAGUCAGCCAAACUCCCUGUGCCUGGGCCAUUGGUCACUGUCAGUGCACAUACUUUGCUGGUAUGUCUUUCUGAUGUUCUCCCCAGCCUUUCUCCUCGCUGCCUGGCUGGUUAGGUGGUCUUUCUCAGAUUCCAACCCAAAUUCCUUAAAGGCUGCAGCGAGGGUCUCUAUCCAUCCUCACCUUCUCACUCUUGACGCAUUAGGCAGAUUCUCAUUGCUGUGAUAAAAUACAUGGCAUAAAUAAUUUGAGGCAGAAAGGUGUAUUUUGGUUCAUGGUUCCAGAGUUUUCAGUCCAUGGUUGGCUGGCUCCAAGGUAGAAAUACCUUGGUAGAAGGGUGUGGCAGGGGAGAGCUGCUGCACCAUGGCAGACAUAUAAAUGUGAACAGAAGCAAGGAGGGGGAGGGGGAAGGGUGGGGAAGGGGAGGCAGGAUGUGGGGCUAGGGACAUCUGUUAAAAGGCAUGCCCCCAGUCACCUGGGCCCCAUCUCUUAAUAGCCCAUUCAACUCAUUAGUGAAUUAAUCCAUUGAUAAGGAUGGUGCUCUUGUGAUCUAUCACCUUCCUAAAUCCCAGCUCUGAAGACUGCUACAUUGGAAAUCAAGCCUUUACUAUGUGAGUCUUCAUUUUUAAGCCACAACACUUUGACAACUGUGGUAGACAAAUAGUGCUUUCCCAAGACGUCCUCGUCCUAAACCACAGAAGCUGUGACUAUGUUAUAUUCACAUAGGGGAAUUAAGGUUUCGGAUGGAAUGAUGGUUGCUCACCAGGUCAUCUUGAAAUAAGGAUAUUACCCUGGAUAAUGUGAGUGAGCUCAAUGCAAUCAAAAGUUCCUUUAAUGUGGAACAGUCAGGUCAGAGGAGGUCAAGAGAGAAAGCUAGAAGAGGCUUCUAGGCAAGGAGGGUGGGCAGUCUCUGGCCAUUACACAGGAAGACUGAAGUACACACUUUCCCCCAGAGCCUCCAGCUAGGAAUGCAUCUUGUCAGCAUCUUUAUCUUAGCCCAGGGAAUUACACAUGCAUGCUGAUCUCCAGAACAAUGAGAUACACAUUUAAUGUCAUUAGGCUGCUAAAUUUGUUGCAUCAUGAAAGUAUCCUUAGUUCACCCAUUUGAACCAAGCAAGACCUAGUCUUGAAUUGGCAACUCUAGUUAACCCAAUCCUGGUUGCCAACAGAGUGGUAAAGUCGUCUCUGAGGAUCUCAGGUCUUGGGAUGGGAAGACAGAAAUUACACUGCUCAGUGAGCAGGGUGAGAGUAAUAAUGUGAUAUGCUCAGGCCCAGGGCCAGGUGGGGAGCAAUAUGCAUACCAGCAGCCCCAGUCUCAUCCCAUGAAAACCCACACGAGAGCAAACAUGCUGGGUGUAGUGUACUCAGGGAGGCUGAGGCAGGAAACUUGGAAGUUCAAACACAGCCUUAGCAACUCAGUGAGAUCCUGCCUCAAAAUUAAAAAAUGAAAAAUAAAAAAAGAACUGGGGAUGUAGCUUCGUACAAAGGCCUUAUCCAGUAUCAAAAAUUAAAAAGUACCAACACAUACAGUGGUACCUCAGUUCAUGGAUGCUUUUGUCUGUGAACAAUUUGGUUUGCAAACAGAUGCAUUGGGCAAAAUUUUGUUUUUGUUUGUUAACUCUGUACUGGGGGAUGAGCAUAACUGUGACCAUCUUUCCCACACAAACCUGAAUGUGGCCGUCUUUUCUAGAAUCGUGGAACAAGUUAAGUUCAUGAGUGAAGGUUAUGUCCUAGAGGAUGUUCAAAUAGUAUUACUUUUAAUAGCAAAAACAUUAUAAAGAUGCAAAAAUGAGUCAAUAGGAAAACAUAAACAAAUUACGGUGCAUUCGUGAAGUAGAAUAAGAGACCAUGAUGAAAAUGUAUCGAUUUGACAGCUGUUGCUUAUAAAUAGAUAAGUAAGGAGAAAAACAAGCUAGAGAAUGUUUUCAUUAAGAAAAGCAAAUAAACACCCCUCUUCUCCGAGGAAACAGAACAAAACUUCUACACACUUUCUUGCGGGAGCGGCUGAAGCUAAAGAUCCAUCAAGUGCGAGAGCAAGGCCAAUCCCAAGAACAUAGCGCCUGAGACAAGCCGCAUGGAUAAACCCCUGGGCAGAGAGGUUUCACGGGAUGCUCAGCCUCUCCAGUGUAUAAAUAAAUGCACCGCGGCUGUUGGGGCACUCUUGCUCCUUCCUCUUGCUCCUUCUCCCUCUCCUCCUUCUUUGUCCUUCUCAUCAGGAGAGAGGGCUCCACACGGCCUCAGUUUUCUGUGUUUGGACUCUUGUCCUUUUUCUCCAUCCUCUCACCACCCUCACCCUGGGAACGAUGUGCUUUCUGAUGUGCUAAGAGGAAUCAUAGUAUUGACUUUAUAUUACAUCAUGUUCUUUAUAGUGUAUUAUUUCAGUUAUGGAAGGUGUGCAGGAUGCACUAAAGCAGAGUGUAAGGUCAAACUUUAUUUCAUCUAGAUUUCAUUGCACACAUACAGAUUUAUAAAAACAUAGAAUAAAAGGCCAAAAGGAUCUGACAGCCUCCAGAGGACAGAUAUGGUUGAAGAAGACUUACAUUGGACUUUCUAGCCUUCUAUACUGUCAAGCCUUACUUGAACAAGCACAUGUUGCUUUUUAUCUCAUGCCAUAUUUUUAAAAAUGGUGGUAUAAAUGUUAAGAAAAGCAGACUUGACUAUGGUCGUUCUGGGAUGAGCAGUUGUGGUUUGCACCAGAGGCCUGAGGGGCUGAGGUGUGUGAGGGUCCUCUUAGCAAGGGUACUCAGAACGAGGGAGACAAAUUUGGAGCCUUUUCCUUGUGAGCUCAUUCAGGACGUGAGGUGUCACUGAUCCUCCCAGUGGAAAAGUGGUGUCAUCCAAGGCCACCUGAUGCUUUACAGAAGCAGUGCUAACGCCAUGGCCGGGAACAGGCAGGCUGCUCUGAGUUUUAUGGUGCUCUCAGAUGCAAUGUAACUUUCUGUCCCCCUCUAGCGAACCUUGAACCACUUUGUAAUUCGUACUCCCAUUUGAUAGACAUACCUUUCAGCGGAAGGGGGAUUUCCUGACCUGCUUCCUGACACAACAUAUAUCACAGAGGGGGGCAUGGGAGUGCCAGGGUCUUCAGUGAAGUAAUCCACUGAUGCGUUUGUAGCUGAAUGUGCUGGUGGGGCCUGGCUAGAGGAGGUGGCUCACGGAAGUGACCUAGAAGGCUGCAUUAUUUGUCUGUUUUAGCUGAUCAACCAUCCAAAAUUAAAAUUUCGGUUAUAACAGGAAGGCUGUGUUCUGCUCCCUUGCUCCUUCUUUUUUCUCUGUUGCUUCCUGGUCUCUCAACUUCUUGGCUGCCACAGGUGAGCAGCUCCCUCCACCAGGCCUUUCUGCGUGCUUCUGCCUUGGAGCCAGCUGACCACGAGCUGCACUUCACAAACCAUCACCCAGUCUGUCUGUCAGUCUGUCUCUCUCUUUCUACCCCUGCCUCUGUUUUUUGAGAGGAUCUCACUAUGUAUUCCAGGCUGGCCUUAACUCACUCUAUAGUCCAGGUUGGCCUUGAACUUAAAGCGAUCCUCCUGCCUCAGCUGUAUGGGUGCUGGGAUUACACACACGUGCCACGGCUAGAUUUAUAGUUUUAAGUCCUUCCCCACCUGGGUUCCUGAUAUUAUGAGAGAACCAUAUGGGCCCUACAGUGCCCAAAAAUAAAUUAUGUUAUUUAAACCACUGCUGAGAUGAGGUUACCUUUCAUUUAUAGCUAAAACAAAUUAAACAGCCUACUAACACAUUUUAUUCUGUUUAAGUAUAGGGAGGCCAAUGUUUUGGACCAACUUUCUACAUUAGGACCCAGGACACAUAUCAAACCAUAACAGACUCACUUGUGCUGAGUGCCAUGUAAUCAAACCGAGCUUUCAAACAUAACCCAGGACAUUCCAGUCGACUUAAGUCAGCUUUAUGAGUAAGUCCUCCUUGUCUUAUUCCCUACAUGGACAAUAACUUUGAACCACUCAUCUACACUUCUUCUCUAUUUCUGCCUUCUGCAAUCCUCUCUGUCUGUAAAGCCAACCUCGUCUAUUCAGCUUUUGAAAUGUUCUGUUUUACACAAUGAAGUGAGGUAUUGCUGGAUGUUAGAAUCACAAAAGCCAAUUUGAUCCUUAAAAGAAAAUUUGUUGUAAUGUUGUCCUUUGCUAUUAAAAGCAAAGACCACUAGCAGUAAUCUUUCAAAGAACAGUGAUGGAGUGUGACCAAUGAAACACCUUAGUAACCUCUAGGUCCAGUGAUUCCAGAGGGGGAGGAAGAGGUCUGUAUCAGGAGAUACAUCAUCCGCGAUGGAAGAGGCUGUGGCUCUGUGGGUGCCUGUCUUUCUGUCUGCAAAAAAAGAUUGACCAGUGAGUAUGUUUUUGUGCUGCUCUGAGUCCGUUAGCCUGGGGAAGGAAGUUCUCAGAUUCAUCUUUCCAGGGACUUCUCGCAAAUGUCGUGACUUACUAGGUAGCAACCAUCUCCCUGGAAAGCACAGAAUGUACCUUCUAGCUUUGCCAGCCAAAGGUUUAAAUCCUGGCUGAAGGAAAUGGAGGAUUCAGUGUAGAGAAGAAACUAUGAUACACAGGGUUAGGUCUGAGAGCUGCUUUUAUACAUGGAAAUAAAAAAGCCAUAGGCCUCUUCAAGGAAGAGGGUUGUGGGCCCAAAUCAGGACCAACAGGUGGAGGCUGCCAGCUUCAUCCAAAACUAAGGAGGAAUCUCUCACCCAUCAGGGCUGUGUGGAAGUAGCGGGUGUAAAAUACAGCUACUUUUUGAUAGUACCACUCUGUUGUUCAGGGUAUUAAACAAAGGAUGCUGUCGGAGGGAUUUCUCACCCAGGAAGAGUUUCCAGUACCAGUCCACAUAUUUGUAUUCGCCCAUAAAUAUUUCCGUGUCUACUUUUCCAAAGGAGGAGAGCAAAAGCAAUGUGAUACAUUUUUAUAAAAUGGAAUAUUUGCAAUUUGAAAUACAUUUCUUUCAUUCUGAUAAAAGAAUGCUCUCUUUUAUUAGACAGUAGGUAGUGUUAUAUUGUUGUGUUUAACUUCCUGACAAAAUAAACUCUUGGCCAUCUCUAAGUCUAAGAUACCAACUGUGAAAUCCAUAAAUAGGGUAACGACUGACAAUAUGGACAAAAUGACACAAUCAUCUCUCUAAAGUGGCCUCUCCUGGACCUGUAGUGUACUGGAGUGUCCACUAGGUGCCAUUCUGGUGUACUGCAGCAGCUAGCUCGGUCGAGAAACUGAAAAUGUGGCCCACUUGCUUCCGGUGAGUUAAAGCGUACUGACAAAGACAGCUGCUUCUUGAUAACUUCUAGUGUUUGACAACAAAACAAAAAUGUUAAGCUGUGCUCUUCCUUUCCUAGCUGUUCCCUUCAGUCAAUGAGCCUGCAGUGCUCUCAGAAAUUUAGUGCCAGUGCUUUCAACAAACAUUGUGCUUGGCUGAAACCUUCCGUGAGCUGUGGCUGUGCUUCCCUGCAAGAGCAGGGCUCCGUCCUGUCCGCACGACCUCAUGUUAAUAGAAGGAUGACUUCCUUUUGCCUAGAGGCUGUGCUUCAGAAGGCCCUUACUGCCUACUUCCCCCAUGGCAGUUCAUGCUGCAGGGAAUGACUUUUCUCUUGUUCUUCUCUGAAAUAUGCCAAAGAAUAUUUAAGGGGCACAGUUCUUAGUGAUGGCUUUCCACCUCAUCCAUUCAUUCAGAAAUAUUUGUUGAGCACACGCAUGUGCUGGGUAUUGUGUUAGCAAAAAACACCACAGAUGGAGCCGCUUUCCUAGGGAAUGGAUAUUCUAAUGGGAAAGAGUCAAUAUAAAAAAAAAGCAAGGAGGUUUUUUUUCUGGUGGUAAUAAGUGUUCUGGGGGAGAACGAAGCAGUAGGGGAAGGCAAAACCACAGGUGGGGCCACUGCAGGUACAGGAGAAGGUGCUUUUUGUGGAGAGAUUCAGGCCAUGGGGAAGAGAUGAGGGUGGUGAUCCAGAGGGAGCACUCUCCAGGUCUUGCAGCAGAAAGGAACUUGGCCAUUUGAGAGCCAGGAAGCAUGUGUAUGUGGCUGGAGGGAAAGGGCUGGGGUGAUGGGGUAAGAUGAGGCUGAGCAGAGGGACAGGACACAGACCCUCAUUUAUAUUGAAACAAUGAAAAAGAAAUGGGAAUACGGGAAGAAUGAGCUUUGGCCUGGGAAUGAGGUGGACAGGGGUUUCGAUUCGGGGUCCUGGGUGCCUACCCAGGUGCCAACCAAAUGGCUGAUAGAAGAAGCAACUUGGUUUGGAGGGUGAAGUGCCCUCUCCAAGGCUCCCGGGACCACACCUGCCUUCCACUAAGUGCAGUGCUACUGUGGUAUUGGGAGGUGAAGGGGAGCAAAGUUCACCGGCACAGCUCCUGUGGGUGCCUGGUCUGUGACCAUGAGGAAACGGGUAUUCCAAAGCCUGCUGAGUGAGGGCCCAGCCCUGACUCCUCAGAGCGUGGCCGUUAGAUGGAAGAGACCACAGACACCAUCUGAUAAUACUUAUUUUAUCGUUAUAUUUAAAAUCCACCCUGGGUCAGGAUUGAUGCCUUUUACUUUUUUUCUCUUCAUUUUGCUUAUGGGCUCCACCCACUGCACAUUUAUUCUGCACACACUAUGUGUCCUGCCUGUGUAGCUGGUGUCAGUAAAUCCAUUUUCAUGUGGUAGUGUCUCCCCACAUCUUACCCUUUUGUAGGACAUGAACAUACCAGCCUCCCCUUGGGUGGUUCAUGCCAAGUCAAGGAAACAGAAAUUCACCUUCUGAAAGCAGCUUGAAACACAGAAAGAAAUAGACCUUUGCAGCAUAAUGAGGUCCACGCGAAAUCUUACAGACAUUUGGUCGGCUGUGUCAAGUUCCAGCGUCUCAUGGAUGUUGACCUAGCACUGCAUUUCAUGGGUAUUCUCCUUUAUCUUCUUUACAUCUGCUCAUUUGAAAUCUGACUCCAUAUGUGAAAUCUGGCUCCAUGCAACAGAAAAUACAGUGGGCCUGGAGCUCGGCACCCAAGGCGACAUAAAAGGAAAAAGUGGAAGGCCUUAGCGGGAGGAUGCUGGGGGGCUUGGAGGAUCACUCUGGUUAGAGAUACACACAGUGUGUGGACACAAAGGCCACCAUGCGCAUAAAAUUUCCCUGGAGUCGAGGCUCCCAGGCAGAUCUAGUGAGGGAUAGCUGCUCAGGUAGCAGCAGGGCUUAGGAACAAAGGCACAUGGUUUUAAGGAACAGGAAGACAGCCUGAAUGGGGCAGGGGUCCACGCCUGAUCCCUCCCCUGUUGCAGACGCUGUGGAGAUUGCACAGGCAAUUUCAGCCUAAGGCAAUGGACCGCUAGAAAUCUUGACCUCUGUGCAGUGAUUACCUUGACCUUCAGGCUGCUGUUCUUUUUCCAGGUUUUACUGCCUCACCCUCUGAAAUUAAGGGUGCAGGAAGAGGAUUACAUUCAGAUGAAAACAUUGAGGUGAACUGAAGCAAACCGCAACACAAAAAGAGGGCCUGAUUUAGAUCCAUUUUCAAAAAAGAAACCAUAAAAGAAAAAAGAGAAAAGAUUAGGACAUUAUGCAAUAAUUUAAAGAUUCUAUAUUUAUGAGUACCUUAGUGUUAAAAUUUUACACAUGGCAAUAAUACUGUGUAAUACUGUGUAGUACAAUCAAAGAAGUCAUGUUUUUGAGGCACAAUUUGUAUGAGCAUAGUACAAUGUUUAUAAUAUUCCAGUGAGAUUUGCUUCAAAAUAAUAAUGAGUCAGAGAAAUAGAAUAAAAACAUAAAAGACUGGUCAUGAAUUAGUUAUUGUUGAGGCUGAGCGAUGAAUUGGACAUGGCUAUUCUUAAACAAUUCCACUUUUGUGUGUUUAGAUUGUGAUCCUGCCUUUGGAUAGCAGCGAUGAAGCUGGAAUAGGAGCUGAGCACUGCUUGUCCUCAAAGCCUGUGCUCUUUUGUGUCAAAUCCUAGACACUGUUUCAUUAUAUUCGUGUGUGUUUUAUUAUGCCCAUAAAAGUUUUCUAAAACAUAUUUGACUGUGUUGUACUGUACAAUACUGUUACUAUGUGUAAAAUUUUAUCAAUCAAGUCUUCUGACUCUGCAACUCUAACCCUUUCCAAUCUAUCUAGGGCAAAGCUUGUGGCCUCCCUCCACCCCCAGCAUCUCCAAGCAUGCACUGUCCUGCUUUGAUAAGCCUGAGUUGGGGUGUUCCACUGGGCAGUUCUUUGCCAAGGUGGGCGGGGGGUCACUAAUGGAAUCCUUCACCCUUCACCUUAACCCUUGGUGUUCACUUUGAUUAGAGACCUACACAGUGGAUGGAUACAUGAGAAUAUUGCAGGAAUUAGGUUAUCUCUACGUGGUUUGACAUUUUAGAAGUAACUGAGCAUUGUCAGUUAUCUUUCAAAGCAAUAGUAAAUGAAAAACAGUGACUGUAAGCAGAAGUUUAAUGCUUUUGAACAAAUUUGACACUUUGAGAUUACAUGGGAAUUUCUUAGAAUUUCUAAAGGGUGGUUGUUUUAUUUAGUCUGUUUUCUGAAUUUGUUUUCUCUGGGAAAGUGCUUGGAAUGGCCCAAAGAGGCUGGAACUGUAGCUGUCCCUUCGGGUACACAGGGGAUUGUAGUGAUGGUGCACACCUAUAAUCCAACACUGUGAAGGCUAGGGAAGGAAGAUCAUGAAUUUGAGCCUAGCUGGGGCAACUUAAUGACACCCUCUCUCAAAAUAUAAAAGGGCUGGGGUGUGGCUCAAUGUGAAUCUCCAGGACUGUAAAAACAAAACGAGAGUCUACAGAUGUUUAAGUCCCUUAACAUAAAAUGGUGUCAUUUUUGCAUGUAGGCUAUAUAUAUAUUAAUUCAUCCAUAUAUUUUGAAUCAUGCAUACAUUUAUUCUUAUGAUACCAAACACAAUGUAAAUGCUGUGCACAUAUUGCUAUAUUGUAAGGAAACAGUGACACAAAAGGAAUCUGAAGACUCUCAGAACAAGUGCAGUUUUUUCUGAGAGCUUUCUAUCUGUUGGGGCUGAGGUGUGGCUGUCCGUGCAGGGCUCCUGGGACAUGCACUGGAUGCCAGGCGACUAUGACAAGCAGCCGGGAUGCGCUAUGGCACAGGCUCAGUGCCCAGUGCAGGUGUUUCAGCUCCAUCUGAGAUCACGAUUGGUUUGUGUGCUCUGGUUCUUAGGGACAGGAAGACACAAGGGCUCAUAGACAUUGUCACACUCGAACCACCCGGGUAAGAGUUGUCGGAUGGCAGGCUGUUAUUUUCUGUGGUGGUGUUUAUUUAUUGUUAUUGUUUCCUUUUUAUCUAGUAAAUUCAAAGAUAAAGCACAUUUAAAAGAUAGCAUAUGGUCCAAUGUUGACUUUCUGUGGAAAUUCGAUUCAGUCUUCACCCAGUUCUCCAGAAUCGUGGAGAGAAUGGAAUUUGUGAACCCAAAUACCACUGUAUUUACCAUCAGGGAAAACCAAGAAGAUUUUUUUUCUCUUGAAAACAUUAUGUAUGCUUCAAUAAUAAAGGCUGUUUUCUAACCCCUCUGUUAC